rnacentral:rRNA from 1 species
ACUCGAGUGGCGAACGGGUGAGUAACACGUGGGUGAUCUGCCCUGCACUUCGGGAUAAGCCUGGGAAACUGGGUCUAAUACCGGAUAGGACCAUGCUUUAGUGUGUGUGGUGGAAAGUUUUCGGUGCAAGAUGAGCCCGCGGCCUAUCAGCUUGUUGGUGGGGUAAUGGCCUACCAAGGCGACGACGGGUAGCCGGCCUGAGAGGGUGUACGGCCACAUUGGGACUGAGACACGGCCCAG